AGCUGCUGCUGCCGGCAUCCACGGGGAGCUGCUGCCGACGUCUUCCAGCGACCAUCUCACCGAGAUGCAGCAGCCGGUGACUACCUCCCCGAGCUCCUUCUGCCAGCCAUCACGUCUGCAAACCGCUUCUGCCGGCCACCUACACGACCUGCUGCCGCUUGGUGAGGUCCAUCUCCCCCCUCCUUUAUUUAUUCUUGCAAAAAAUCUGUCUUUAUUUCUGUUGAAUUUGUGAGCAGCCAGGACUGCAUGCUUCUAUCGAUGAAUUUGUUAAGACUUUGAGACUCUUCCCCUUGACCAUAGCAAUUAUUUAUUUGUCAAGGUCAUCCAAGUAUACUUGGAAUUAUCUCAUGCGUCAAACUCUGUCCACUUAUUUCUACCUCGCCUAGCUCAGUUAAAAAGAGAUUUUCAAACGCCUUGGCCCAUGAGAGUUUGGGACGGUGAAGAAGCCUACUAACAUCAGUUUUUGUAGCCCGGUCGAGCUGUGAAUUUGUAAACAGAUACUUCCACAACACAGCUGAAAAGAAGAGCGCUCUGAACUGAAGGAGCGACAUAAAGCAACAAUUUUCAGUUUAUAGUGGAUUGCACACCAAUGCUUUUCUCAGACGCAAAACCAGUAGCUUCAGCUAAGAGCUCAACUUGAGAAUAAAUAUUGGGACUGAAGAAGAUCACCAUAGUACUGAAAUUGUUCACAGUGAACUGCAUGCCAGCAGCCUCCACGAAUAGCACCAUCAAGGUCUCCUUUAGGGUGUCUUACGUAACAACCCACUAUUUGUUUGCUCAAGUCAUUGCCAUUAAAAGGGCCUGUUUUCCCUCGAGUAUUAACUCUGAACAAUUAGCACCAUCAAGGCCCUCAUGGCUGGCGUUCAUGUGUUGCUUUUGUUGGGAGCACCCUGUAGCUUUUUGAAUCACUUAUGUUCAGUGGUACUGAAGCUCCCUUGUCUGUUUCGUUUGGUGGCCUAUAGAUAGUAAUUAUAAAUUAACCAUACUAAUGUCGGUUACUAGUAUGAAGAUAAACUCAAAUCAUUUGAAACUAUUUUACCGAGUGCCUCCACUUCUACUCUUUAUUACAAAAAUGAAUCCAAUUUGCUAUGUUCCUUUUCUGUUACUGGUUUAAGCUUGUUACAAAUUUUGCAGGCUGCGAUGGUAUUUUUCUCGUUAACCUGGGAAGUGGUUACUAAUGGGAAGACAAUUGAAUCAUUCAAAAUUAUUAAUCUGAAUUCCUGCACUUCUAAUCUUGCUUAGAACAAAAUCAUUCUUGGUGUGUUCCUUUGUGUUUGCUAUUAAAGUUUGUUACAAAAUUUGGAGGCUGUAGCGAUGUUUUCUUUCGUUAACUUGAGAAGUGCUUACUAAUAUGAAGAUAACUUUAAAACCAUUCAAAACUAUUUAAGUGAGCGACUCCACUUUUACUCUUGCUUAGCAUCUUUUUUUUCUGGUCCUUCUAUGUUUUUGGUUUAAGGUUGUUACAAAAAAGUGGAGGCUGCGGUGAUGUUUUUCUCGUUAAACAGAGAAGUGCUUAUCAAUGUGAAGGCAAACUCGGGCCAUUAAAAACUACUAAACCGAGCACCUCUGCUUCUAUUUUCUGAGAAAUGUUUCAUUAUUGUUCUAUUCCUUUUCUGUUUCUGCUUUAAGUUAUUUAUGAAAUGUUGAGGCUGCGAUUUAUGUCAUUAACCUGAGAAAUGCUACUAAUAAUAUGAAGACAAACUUGAAACCAUUCAAAACUAAAUCGAGUGCUUCGCAACCUCUAUUGUUGCUAAGUAUAAAAUAUCUUAUUUAUUCAGGUCUAAUCUUGCUUAGAAUAAAAUUUUGCAUCUGCUAAGUUCCUUUUCUAUGUCUGUUUUCAUUUUUUUUACAAAUUUUGGAGGCUGCAUAUUUUGUUUUUAACCUGAGAAGUGAUGGAGCCUCGUCACUUGCAAUCACAGUGGCACCAACACACGCUGCUCCUUUUGCAACCGUCUCAACUCCACAAGAGCAGAUUGAUGUGCUCAUGUGUCAACUGGAUGCGCUCUUGCAAUAUGGAGUAGCAUUUGUGUCUUGCUGCGCGUAUAGCUUCUCUGUCGUGUUUGCCAUAAGUAUCUGCAUGGAGCUAAUUAAGGUUUUGAUGUGAAGGUCAUUGACGUUAAUCGGACAUGUAAAGUCACAAAGCCAUAUACACAACAUUGAUGGCAACUGGAAACUACCAUCAAUGUUGUUGGUUUUGCAAAAGCUAAAGGUCCAACAUCCAAGAUUGCAAAUGCAGAGGCAUCCCAGAAACUUUUUUUUUUUGCUUCAGCCACCCGUGAUGGCGUGUGACCGCAGCUGGUGGGAGGGGCUCACGGUGGCGCAUGGAUGAUGGAGGGGAGGCAAGGAGGACGAGCUGGUCGCCGCCUAGCCCGGCCGCUGCUGCCUGCCUACGGACUUCUUAUGAGACGACCAAGAGGAAGGAGCACUCAAGUUGCUCAUCUGGAGUUGCAUCUUCCAGGCAGUGCCUGGUGGCUUUCCCGGCUUCCUUGGAGGAAUCGAGGGUGGUAUGCCUGCAGGAAUGGACUUUGUUUUCCCUGGUGCUGGUAUGCCUGCAGGAAUGGGGUGUAUGCCCGGGGCUUGUGGUGCUCCCAAUUUUUUUUGGUAUGUAUGGCAUUCAGAAUGUAAGUGCUCGGACGGUGCUUGUCUUCCUGAUGUACAUACUGCCUGCCUUACAAGUUCCUCUUCUUUGUGUUGGGUUUUGUGCACUAAUAAAACUAAUCUAGCUGAGUUCAAGCUUUUUAAGCUUGUUGUGUGCACACCAUACUGGUAAAGUAGUACUGGUAUAUGUGCAUACAAUUAUCUGAAGUUAUUUACGAUUCUUACUUGUAUAUCUGCAGUUGGAGAGGCAUCGAAGGCCCAGUGGACAAACCCAAUCACGAGAUAGUUGAGGUCCCAGGAGGUGUUGCAGUCCUCUGCUGGGAGGUGCAUUUCUCACAUAUACAGGUGGAGGCUGAAUUUAUUGUUGUAGCUAUCCUCUGUCCAUGGACGAGAGCAACGAUGAUUGGCUCGAUUUUGUUGUCACUACAAUAUCGUUUGAGGUUCGGUGCUUCUUUGAGGCCACAAUACUAAGAAAGAGAACAAGUAUGCGUUAGAUGGAUCCAUGUGUGUGUGUGUGCAUGGGGGCCUUGAUGGUGAGGAUGAUGAAGCGGACGGAGACUGCACUCAAUGCCACAGGGACUAGUUUAUGCUCUUGAUGGCCAUUGCGUUUGCUGCUGUAAUUUUGUCGGUGAAGUGAAGCAGCUGUGAAAGCUUUGGUGCAGCCUUGAGUCACGUAACCAGCUAGUUUCCUCUGUAAAAGUAGUAAUGAUGCGAGAGCUCCCUGAUUGUAUUGCAUGUAUAGCUUGUUGUUGACUCAUGUCGAGCAUGACAUUCUUUGAUUUCUUGAUGAUGUACUUGCUUUUCAUAAUUGACUAGGAAUAUACCAUUGUGUAACUUGCUAUGUAAAUAGAAGCAGUAUUUGAAUCUGUUUCUCUUGCUCUGAUUUUCAAUUGAACCAGCUCAUUCUUCA